UUCACCUUUAAUGUUUCUAUUUUAGCAUAGAAACCUCGCCUGUUUCAUGUUAUUUUUAAAUUUUAUGCAUAUUUUCCCUCCAGGCAAAAGCUCACACUUGCAAGCCUAAAAUUAGCUUGCGUGAUGAAACGACGCGGAGAAAUCAGAUUGACAGCAGUGGAGAAAAAUAGGUGCAAAAUCUCCGCAGACGCUCCAUGUUUUGGUAGAGCACAUAUCUGUCCCUACGUUCUGUAAAACUCAAAUAAUGAAAGGACAGAAAAAUAAAUAAAACAGUGUGUUCACAAGUUUGUCAAAAGGAGCAAAAUUCUCAGAGCGUUUAAUCACCUCCUGUAUGAUUCGCCUGUCUGGAAUUACUAGUCUGUUCUGACAGAGUCCACGGUGCUAAUUGUGAAACGCUGACAGUGCUCAUCACACAAACGAAUGUCUUACGAAUUUCCUGGAACAUUGUCAGGGCUCCCUUUUGUUAUUUUCUUUCCCCUUUUUAUCCUUGCACCCAGUCUGCUGAGGAAACAUGGCCAUUAUCAGUGCCGAUACGUAUGACUUACUUCGCUACUCGACCUUAAGAAAAAUCCUCCGUAGUUUUGUUCUGUUUUCUGCUCUUCGCCGCUCAGAUGCGCUGAAUCAACCGCAUGGAGUAUUAUUGGCAAGGAAAUUUGCAAUUUGAGUUUUGAAAGAAAAGGGACAUUUCAGUUCAUGUCUUACACAAAUUUGUUCUUUUCACUGGCUCUUUGGUCACAGCCUCAUCUAGUCACCUCGUUUUAAAAUGAUGCUGUUUAAUUAAGUAAUUCCCGUUAUUGCCCAUACUCUCUGAACUCUUCUCUCUCCUUAUUCUUCAGGGGUAAAAUUAAUAAUUUUUGAAGUAAGGUUCUGUUAAGUGGCUAUAAGCGGUUGCAGCUGGAAAUUACUCACAUGGUGUCUUCAUUCUGUAUAAUUUCAGAUUGCUUGGCCCCGAGUGCUUAAAUGGUAAGUGGACUGAACUUAUAUAGCGCUUUUCCAGUCAUUUUGACCUCUCAAAGCGCUUUACAAUAUGGAACAGAAACUAACUACUAUCCAAGAAGGGCCAAGACUAAAGUGGACUUCUAGGUCCUUAUAGAAACCCCAAUCUCAUAAUGUUUAAUGCAAACCCUAUUUUAUAUACCUUUAAGCUCUUUGGACUUAGUGGCUGUUUUACAGCAGCUGACAAUGAUUUCCACAGGAAAUGAAAGUGCAACACCAAUUAAUUUCCUGUGUGAAACUCUUAUUGAGAAUGGAAGCAUGUCCAUUCAGAGUAACUCUCUGAUAUAAAGGGAAGGGGUGUAAAACACACAAAUAUUAAAGCAGUUUAUGAUUGAAGGACCUUGUUUUAUAUAUAUUUUUAUUGAUUUUACCACUGGUUCACGUCUCUGUUACGUAUGUACUUGGAAACACUUACAUGCUCCAUUUUCACGUUACACAGAGGAAGCCUGUGUUAACUAUUAUAAAUAAGCAUUAGCCUUACUGUCCAAUAUAUAUGUAAUUACAGUGUAUAGGUUCAUAAAAUGGUCAAUGAAGACAGAAAGAGCGUAAUAUACUUCUGAUAUAUUUAUGUGCUUUUAAACUUUUACAGAACUUUGCUUCAACAAUCCUAAACUUUUUCAGUAAGAUCGUUUUUAUUGUCUGUUUCAAAGCUCCCUAUAUUUAGCCAAAGUCUCAGCUCCCCCCAACCCGUCCACUUUUCUAAAAAUGAUUCAGUGGUUAAAUGUCAGAGCUGUCCGUACCAUUAAGGCCAGCGUGUUUGAAGGAAGGACACCUCCCCCUCCUUCCUCUGUCUCUUUAAAUCCCCUUCUCCCCCCGUUAGCUCCCACAUCAUCCAGCACCCCCUCACCAUCGCUCCAACCAGGCUGGUUAGAGGGCUGAUGUGCAGGCCUUGUCAUUCAGAUUAAGGCCACAUUGUCAGCUCAGGGCUCUUCUCUCUUUAGUUUCGUGUCCCGUUUCUUUCUUCCCACUGUCAGCCACCCCGUCCCGCGGCCAGAAAAGACCUUAUAAAGCUACACUCUCUCUCAUCCACUUCUGUCAAUUCAAACACUGUCACUCACACCACCAUUGGGGGUUUGUCGCAGCAAGGACUAUUUGUUUAUAUAUAAUGUUGGACAUGUUUUUCUAUGUAGAUAUAUAUUUCAUCAGCUAACAGAGUUGUAGACUUGAUUUAUUUUUUGGGGGGGGGGAGUUACUUUGAAGUGAAGAGAUCUUCGUCAGGUACAAAUAAAAUGACAGCAGUGGCACAAGAUGUGAGGGUAAAAAGAGGCGGCAUACUCCUCUCCACAAGUCUUAGUACUCUUUGUAGUAAAGACAGCAAAAGCUGUUAUUUUUAAAUCAAAGUUGUAUGAGUGCAGGGGUAUUUAGAGAGAGAUUGGCAGGUGGUGACACAUUCAACCAGAUUGCCUUAGUCACUCCUUAUCCUGCUCUGUUAAAGCAUCCCAGAAUGAUAUUUAUCACCCAAACGAAUCUUGACUCAUCAGCGUAGUUGCUCUCACGUCCUGUCUUAUUUACUACAGCAGCUCUGUGGCAUUUGAGUUUCAUGCUUCUUACUGUCUGCGCAUUUUUCUUUCCUUCCCAAGAUGAGCAAUGAUUCAGCACUGUCUAAGAUGGUGGACAGUUUCUCUCUUGGUUUUAGUGCAAAGAGAGGAAACAAAUAAAAAGCGCAUUUGAGCCUUUCAGUCCUCAGACUCAGGGGACCACAUCAUAACGAAACAGCAAGCGUUACUGAUCGGGGUGAGUCGGCAGUUUCAUACCCGUUCUCUCCCUCAUCCUCAAACUUGCGCUGAAGCCUUUGAGGCAUGUUGAUGCUCCUCUAGAGGCCGAGCAGCUGUGCUUCAAAACAGGAAAGAAAAAAAAAAAGACAGAAAACUGCAGCUCCUGCCCAGGUGCUCUGUUAACCAAGAACUACUAUGAGUCAGGAGUUUCAAGAUGACUUUCUUUGUGUAACUGCUACUUUCAGCAAAGUAAGACAUGUUCCCAUGCACUCACCGUCUGUGUAAUUUUGACCGUAUUUCAUGGAAGUUAAAUCGUACUUGUAUUACUGGUUGGUUUCUAAGAUUUAAAGAAAAGGUGAGUCAAAGUUGUUUCUUUUUUCAUGGGCUGCGGUGGAAGAAACUACUGGGGGAGGAAAAAUCUUCACAAAGUCAUACACUUGUUUUUGUGUCACAUUUGUUUUUUUUUAUUAUUUAAAGAAAUGUUUUGGAUAUUUCAAUCAAAAUGACCAAAAUGUAAUAUGUUAUUGUCAUGUAACUGGGAACAACUCCACUAAUACACAGUUAUGUUAUUGAUACCCUUGGCAGAUUUAGGGUUGAAGUAAUUUUAUCAACAUGUUUCUUUGUCUGUUAUUAUUUUGAAGUGACCCAGACAGAGUUCGAACUUGAAACUGAUAGGGAAUUUGUUGAAGGAACUAAAGAUUAGGGUGAUGGCCUUUAUGUCAAAGAUUUGGAGCUCAUCUUGGACAAUAAAUCAUCUUGAUGAUGAUGAUUUAUUGUUCAUAAAUCACUAGAAGCUCUUAUCAGUAAUUAUAGAAAGGUGUGAUUGCUUUAAUGCUAAUAAAGAUCUCAAAUUGAUUAUUGGGAAGAAUUUUUACAUGCUAUUUAUUUUAUUAAAAUAAACAAAACUUUAUAUAUGAAAUUAACACUUUUGUAUUUUCUUAUCUAUCAAGAGAAGACUUUCCCAUUUUCUCUUGGUCAAAUGAAGCAAGUUUUAUGUCUAAAUCUGCCAUAGGGAUGAAUAAAGUUCAGCUUUACGUAACCAGUUCAAGCAUUGGUUAGCACAUAAUCAUUAAAUAUCCAUGAUGUUGUUGUCAUUGGUAAAGCUCCCAUGACCUUUUCUGUUUACUUCUGAAGAAUGAAAGAAAGAUUUACUUCAUGAAUAUGCAAGGUAAAAGUUUCUCCACCCACAGAGCAGCCACGCUUCGCCCUCAUUUCUAAGCAGACUGUCAUCUCUGGUCACCGUCCGGUUCACGCUUCCCUCAGUGAACAUUCAACGCUGUCGAUGAAGAUAAAGCCCCACCAUACGAAUCAGAGGAAGAACGGCUGACGACUCCUUGGGAAGGAAAACAAUCCGGACAUACUUCCAGCUUUCUAAAUCACAACAAAGGUCACAAUCAACAUUCAUUGCUGUCGGUGGGUUUGACUUUGUGGAAGAGCUCACUGAACGAUGAAUGCAACUGUGUCCCAGAUUUCAUCCGACCGUCACAAGGAAUGUUGUCACGGCAUGCUGAUGAUGGCGUUAUUUAUUUCGCCUGUCUCUCUCCCUCAGCUACCGUGAUGCUGGUGGUGUGAACUGCCUUGUUGACAGUUUGGCUUUAGGAGCAACAGAAGAAAAGACAAUAAAACUAAACUUGGGACAUGAAAUACUAGACAUGACUUUGUUGUGAACUUUGAACUAAAUGGAAAUGUUUUAUUUUUUGUGCACAUUGUAAUUGGACUAGUUGGUAUGUUAAGGUAUAAAACGGCAUAAAUCAGGUGGUCUUCAUUUCUGUAAUGUUUCCAGGAAUUAAGUUACUAUGAUACAUAAGAAUUUAAAUUCACUUUGUGUUCCUAAUUCUUAACACAUCGCAUGCACUGUCUUUGAUGAAUUUCAAUAAAUCAUCACACUUUCAGAUCUCA